rnacentral:rRNA from 1 species
GAAGGGAGAAUGUUGGGAUGAGUAACCGCAUGUGAUGUGAAAACCAUCACCGCCGUAAGUCCAAGGUUUCCUCCGCGAUGGCAAUCAUCGGAGGGUUAGGCGUGCCUAAGUGUAAGGUGGCUUUAGGGCCACCGAUCAUAAUGGACAGCCAGUUAAUAUUCUGGCCCCACUUUUGUAUUCGAAGGAGUGACGGAGAGUUGUAGGUUGACCGUAUAAUCGGAUUUAACGGGUAUAGCGUGAGGAUGGGACGCAGGAAAAUCCACGUCCGGCCGCAAGGCACAUCCAAGCGCCUUACAAAUUGUCGCAAGACGAAAUUCAGCUGAGCACGCUUCCAAGAAAAACUUCUAAGGAGCCGGGAACUAAGUUCUUGUUCGUAACGAAAUUUCAGAAUUUCGAGCGAGCUGCUGAAAAAGCGAGGAGGCAUACCAGUGGUAUGUCGACGAGUUUUUUCAGAUAGCGCAGCCGAAAUUAUGGAAUUGCAGUAGAACGGAGAAUUUAGUUCCCGGCUUAAAUAUAAGAGUGAACGUACCGCAAAACCGACACAGGUGGACUAGUAUCAGUGUACUAAGGCGAACGAGUGAUUAUUGGCUAAGGAACUCGGCAAAAAAGCGGCCGUACCUUCGGUAUAAGGCCUGCCCUUUUCGUCGCAAGACGAUGGGGGCCGCAGCGAAAGAACCCCUGGCGACUGUUUAUCAAAAACACAACUCCGUGCUAAGCCGCAAGGCGAUGUAUACGGGGUGACGCUUGUCCGGUGCCGGAACGUUAACGGUUGAACUGGUAUGGAGCAAUCUGUAUUGGGGAGGCCCGAAGCGCCGGUGAACGACGGCAGUAACUAUAAAAACAAGCGAGGACGAUGGUAAGCUUGCUUACCGUUCAUCCGAGCGAAGUGUUUAUACGAAGUAUAAACAAUGACAGUUGUAGUUAUAAAAUCUGACUAUUUGCUGGAAACCCCGCGCAUAUCAAAGUACUCUAAUAAAGUAAAAAUCUUUGAUCGAGGCGGACAAUCAGCAGGCAACCCGAUUAAAAAAUUGAUAGCAUCCUGUGAGGAGGAGUAACUAUGAGUAAACAAGAAGAACGUGAGCGAGCAUGGAAAGUCGUAGAGCAGAAGAACAGCCUUCUUGCAAGAGUGGAGGAGGCCAAAAAAUCGUUCUUGAAAGACGAAUGCGAAGACGACCACGAAGGGUCGGCAUUCGACUGUUGGAUGCUUGAUCAGUUCGACAGCAUCACGCAGGCGAUUAGAGAAAAGUUCACGAUGGAGCGAUUUGAGGAAUCAGUCGCUUCACAUAGGCGAGCAUGAACACACUCACUCCCACACGUGUGGAGAGAUGGGCGCGGCUCGCCUCUUCACAGGAUGCUAUCAGAAUAUUUAAGAGGAGAGUCCUCAGAGGCCAUACGUCAGACGUCCCGUCUUGGCGGGAUGAAGAUAUGGUCCGAUCUCAUGGGCGACCAUGAGGCUCCCGCCUAAGUUUUCUAAAGAAAAUUUUGGCGAGGUAAUAAAAAGAAUGAACUGUCUAAAAGUAGCGAAAUACCUUGUGGGGUAAGUUCCCACGCGCAUGAAUAGCGGAACGACUGGGGGACUGUCUCAGCCAAUAGCUCGGUGAAAAUGCAAUGUCGGUAAAGAUGCCGACUACCCGCACCUAGACGG